rnacentral:rRNA from 1 species
UGAGUAACGACGGUCGGGUAACCUCGCCCUAAAGUCUGGGAUACCACUUGGAAACAGGUGCUAAUACCGGAUAACAACAAUAGCUGCAUGGCUAUUGCUUAAAAAGGCGGCGAAAGCUGUCGCUAAAGGAUGGACCCGCGGUGCAUUAGCUAGUUGGUAAGGUAAUGGCUUACCAAGGCGACGAUGCAUAGCCGAGUUGAGAGACUGAUCGGCCACAUUGGGACUGAGACACGGCCCAAACUCCUACGGAAGGCAGCAG